CAGAGAAUAGUUUAACAAGAAAAUAUUAAUUUUGGAAAUUAAUGACAAAAAAAUUUUUUUUCCCUGA
rnacentral:tRNA from 1 species